rnacentral:rRNA from 1 species
UGGGGAAUAUUGGACAAUGGGCGAAAGCCUGAUCCAGCCAUGCCGCGUGUGUGAAGAAGGUCUUCGGAUUGUAAAGCACUUUAAGUUGGUUGGAAGGGUACUUACCUAAUACGUGAGUAUUUUGACGUUACCGACAGAAUAAGCACCGGCUAACUCUGUGCCAGCAGCCGCGGUGAUACAGAGGGUGCAAGCGUUAAUCGGAAUUACUGGGCGUAAAGCGCGCGUAGGUGGUUUGUUAAGUUGGAUGUGAAAGCCCCGGGCUCAACCUGGGAACUGCAUCCAAAACUGGCGAGCUAGAGUAUGGUAGAGAGUGGUGGAAUUUCCUGUGUAGCGGUGAAAUGCGUAGAUAUAGGAAGGAACACCGGUGGCGAAGGCGACCACCUGGACUGAUGCUGACACUGAGGUGCGAAAGCGUGGGGAGCAAACA